GAUGAACGCUGGCGGCGUGCCUAAUACAUGCAAGUCGAGCGAAGCGGGGACGGGAGAGUAACCCGUGGAGAAGCUCCUAUAAGACUGUGUUAACUUCGGGAAACCGGAGCUAAACCGGACCCUUAUAGAUGGAUCCGGGCUGCAUUAGCUAUUUGGUAAGGUAACGGCUUACCAAGGCAACAAUGCAUAGCCGACCUGAGAGGGUGAUCGGACAAACUGGAACUGAGGCACGGUCAAGACGCCUACGAUAGGAAGGAGUGUGGAAUUUGCCGCAAUUGGCGAAAGCCUGAAGGAGCAACGCCGCGUGAGUGAUGAAGGUAUGCGGAUUGUAAAACUCUGUUAUUAGGGAAGCGGUACCUAAUCAGAAAGCCACGGCUAACUACGUGCCAGCAGCCGCGGUAAUAC
rnacentral:rRNA from 1 species